AUUGAACGCUGGCGGCAUGCCUUACACAUGCAAGUCGAGCGGCAGCACGGGUGCUUGCACCUGGUGGCGAGUGGCGAACGGGUGAGUAAUACAUCGGAACAUGUCCUGUAGUGGGGGAUAGCCCGGCGAAAGCCGGAUUAAUACCGCAUACGAUCUACGGAUGAAAGCGGGGGGCCUUCGGGCCUCGCGCUAUAGGGUUGGCCGAUGGCUGAUUAGCUAGUUGGUGGGGUAAAGGCCUACCAAGGCGACGAUCAGUAGCUGGUCUGAGAGGACGACCAGCCACACUGGGACUGAGACACGGCCCAGACUCCUACGGGAGGCAGCAGUGGGGAAUUUUGGACAAUGGGCGAAAGCCUGAUCCAGCAAUGCCGCGUGUGUGAAGAAGGCCUUCGGGUUGUAAAGCACUUUUGUCCGGAAAGAAAUCCUUGGCCCUAAUACGGUCGGGGGAUGACGGUACCGGAAGAAUAAGCACCGGCUAACUACGUG
rnacentral:rRNA from 1 species